AGCGAACGCUGGCGGCAGGCCUAACACAUGCAAGUCGAACGAACCUUUCGGGGUUAGUGGCGGACGGGUGAGUAACACGUGGGAACGUGCCCUUAGGUUCGGAAUAACUCAGGGAAACUUGUGCUAAUACCGAAUGUGCCCUUCUGGGGAAAGAUUUAUCGCCUUUAGAGCGGCCCGCGUCUGAUUAGCUAGUUGGUUGAGGUAAUGGCUCACCAAGGCGACGAUCAGUAGCUGGUCUGAGAGGAUGAUCAGCCACAUUGGGACUGAGACACGGCCCAAACUCCUACGGGAGGCAGCAGUGGGGAAUCUUGCGCAAUGGGCGAAAGCCUGACGCAGCCAUGCCGCGUGAAUGAUGAAGGUCUUAGGAUUGUAAAAUUCUUUCACCGGGGACGAUAAUGACGGUACCCGGAGAAGAAGCCCCGGCUAACUUCGUG
rnacentral:rRNA from 1 species